rnacentral:rRNA from 1 species
AUUGAACGCUGGCGGCAGGCCUAACACAUGCAAGUCGAGCGAGUGGCGGACGGGUGAGUAAUGUAUGGGAAUCUGCCUGAUGGCGGGGGAUAACUACUGGAAACGGUAGCUAAUACCGCAUACCAUCGGAUGUGCCCAGAUGGGAUUAGCUAGUAGGUGGGGUAACGGCUCACCUAGUCGACGAUCCCUAGCUGGUUGGAGAGGAUGACCAGCAACACUGGAACUGAGACACGGCCCCGCCUCCUACGGGAGGCAGCAGUGGGGAAUAUUGGACAAUGGGGGCAAGCCUGAUGCAGCCAUGCCGCGUGUAUGAAGAAGGCCUUCGGGUUGUAAAGUACUUUCAGUGGGGAGGCGUUACCCGCAGAAGAAGCACCGGCUAACUCCGUGCCAGCCGCCGCGGUAAUUC